UUUUUUUGAACGAAUACAUAAAAAGUUUUAUUUCAGACUUGUUUCAGAAUGGGAUUGUGGAAUGCGCUGGAUUCGUCACAGGAUAAGUAGAGUCGGAGAUGCUGAACGAGCUGCAGAGGCGGAUGAUCCUGAGUGAGAUCGAGGAGAUCAGUUGGAUGUCACCGGAAGAUGUUGACGUGGAAAUAUUGCUGAGCCCGGAGCAGUUUGAAGAGCUUGGAAUAAAUAACAGGGCAAUGAUGGUCCUCAAUCCGGUACACAUGGACACGGAGGCGGCCAAGCAGACGAUCCUGGAGCUAGUCGAAGAGGGGUACCCUGAGGCGCAGAUGGGUCUUGGAUUUAUGUACGCCACGGGCAUCGGGUUCAACGAGAGCCAUGCCAAGGCGCUGGUCUACUACAUGAUAGCAGCUUUGGGGAACAACUCGUAGGCUCAGAAAGCGCUCGAGUACCGGCCUGGCCCAGAGUUGGGGUACCGAUUAGUUGCGAAACGGCGCUGGAUUUCUACAAGAAGGUGGCAACGAAGGCGACCAUUAACCAAUCAAGGGAAGUUUUCCGGCGGAGUAGCCGUCCAUCGGAUAAGGCUUUUGGAUGAGAAUCCCGAUGGACCAUCAGAAAGCAUUGCAGUGCUUUAGUCAUUCGGCCAAUGCAGCAAAAGCCGUUUCCAUAAAUUUCCUGGGAAAGAUCUACCUGGAGAGGAGCGACAGCAUCAAAGCGGACAAUGACACAGCGCAAUCCCGUUGGACAGUCCGAUUUGGGUGUGAUGUAUCUGCACGGGAAGGAGGUUCCCUAGGACACGGUAAAAGCGCUGAAGUAUAUCACGGAAGCGGUCGAUAAGGCCGAUACGGCGAAGGCGAACCCAAAGACGAUACCGAGGGCAAAGAGGAUGACGCGUACGAACUGACCGACAACGACGACGACGAUGAAUCCGACUCGGCAGCGUCUGAGGUGGCAGACAUGGAGAUUUCCGAUGCGAUGAUGAAUCUGGCAAGGAUUGGUCAAAACCGGAACAAAAGGCUGCCGAGGAGGAUCGCUACUGCUACAAGGAUGAUGACGUGGACGGCCGAAAAUCUUCAAGAAACGAUCCCAUCAUAGUUCGUCCAAGAGCAGCACGACAAGCACAGCAAGGAUCAACACCACAGCUCGCACCAUCACGCAUGGCAUUGCUUCCAGAAGCGGGUCCGUUCCUAUAUGUUAAUUUUGUUCAAUUGUUUAAUAAAUAAAAAUGGU